rnacentral:rRNA from 1 species
GCCGCNGAGAGGGUGGCCGGCCACACUGGGACUGAGACACGGCCCAGACUCCUACGGGAGGCAGCAG